GCACUCCCACCCCUCAAAAAUUUGCAGCCGCCACAGCCUCCUUGCCUUCUUCUCCCUCGUGCAGCAGUCCUCCCACGCACAGCAGCCAGCACAGGGAGCUCAGCUCCACCUCUCCCCAUGGCUGCGAGCUCCCUUCUCCAGCUGCGCGACGCCCUCCCUGCUCCUCCUUGUGGCGAGCGGCUGCAGCAGGGACUCCCAUGGCCGGACCUCUGCUCCUCUCUUCACGGCGCCCCUUCUUCCUCCUGCUUCACGGCAGCAAGCACCUUCCAUGGACGCGAGCUCCCAACCAUGGCGCCCCAAUCCCUUCUUCCCCCUACUUGGAGCUUCCCAUGGCGCCCCCUUCUCUCCCCUUGGUCGUGGCUUCCUCUGCUCCUUGCUCCACGACGCCUAGAUUUUUCAGCAGAGAGCUUUUUCCCCAUGGCGCCACCCCCUGCUUGCAUUCCUCCCUGGCGCCCAGAAAAAUUGCAGAUCAGCGCCCCUGCUCCUCUUCUAUCUACUGUGCAGCAGCGCUCACCUCCCGUGGAAAACCAGCCGGCUUCCUGCCUCCAGCAAGCCGCUUUUGUUCCCUGCACGCGAGCUCGCUGCGGGGUGCCCUAGCCGCUGCUCGCCCCGACCACAUCUCCAUGGCCAAGCAGCCCCCUUGCAGCGAGCUUCUCCUUUUCCCUCGCUGCGCAGCUCCUCGGCGAAACGCCACUGUUCCUGCAGCCACGACGUCCAAGUUCCUGCGCCCAGCCCUCCGAUCCAAAAACAGCAGCCCUGCGCAAAGCCCCUUCCCUUGCUCCUUUCCGAUGUGCGCAGGGUGCUCGACGAACUGUGCAGCAGCCUCGACGGCUCCGCGCGCUGCCGGCUUGCUGUUUUGUUGCGCAGUGAGCAGCACGCCGUGAUGCCCGUCGGUGGUUUGCUAUUUUUUUGCGCAGCCCCGUCGUCGUCGUUGUUCACCCCGGAGAGGAACCCCGUGUUUUGCGUGGAGAAGGCAAGCCGCUCGAUGCUCGUCGAUGUUCGUAGCGAUGCACAAAUCGGAAUCACCGUCGUUCUUGCAAACGCCGUUUGGGUUUGUUUAUGGACCGAGAGGUGACGACCGUGCAAGUAAUGUGGUGACAACCACAAGAUGCAGUUGGUGGACAUACUGAAGGAUGGUGGACUUAACCAGUGGAUGCUCGCCAAGCGAGUGCCACCCCGCAAACACUGUCUAAGUGUUAAAUUAAAGGUACUCAUUGAUUUGGUUGAUGGUGUGACUUGGCCUUCAUCUCUGCCACCGGGAUAGAUGGUCGAGUGGGUUACUGCUUCCGCGGGAGAGGACCAGGAGGAGUAGCGUGGCCAGGCUUCGCCAUGUUACUCGGUUUUCUCCGUUAGUUAUUUCCGCUGCAUUAAAAAUUAUGGUUAUUAUUUCUGAAACUCCGAUAAUGUAAUCACUAAUGAUACUUAUUAAAUUUGUGGUAUUAUGUUUUAUUGUAUUUCUCUGUGC
rnacentral:misc_RNA from 1 species